UCGACAGGGCAAAAAUAAGCCUGAUUACAAUUAGCAGGCUAAACACCUUAUAUUGAAAAAUUCUCUUCCACGAAACCCCCAAAAGCUCUUUAUAAUAGUCAACUGCUAUAAAAAUGAUUUCUCUAUGAGUAGAGUGAAGGACUCCUGCUUCAUCAUCUUCGAGAAAAUCUUUUUAGAAUUCCAUUUACCACGGCAUGCUUGGAAGAACCUAUUGUUGUUUUUAUUACCACUGUCCAACCAUUGAACCCGAGAUUUUUGUUUCAAGAAAAUUUCUUUAGCUUUAAGAGUUUCACGGUAAGCAGUUUUCAGACAUUUUUCUUCUUGAAAUCAAACUAAAUCUGGGUUCCCUGGCAUCUUACUCUAAAAAGUUUCCAAAUUUUGCCUAGAGGCUUGGACAAGAUUAUGAAGGUUCCCUUUUGCAUUGUUGAGAUUAAUAAGAGCUUCUUGAACAUGCUUCAAUUUUAAAGCUUCAAACAGAAAAGAUUGGUGUUCUAACAGAUGGUUGAAAACCUAAAAAGGUUUAAUUAAUUGCAAUUCUAGGGAGCCCCAAUUGAACGAUAGGGUUGUCAACACUCAACAGUACUAUACCACCAAAUCAGAGAUGAGCCAAUACUUCUUAUAACAGCCAAUUAGUGUUGCUAAACAAUCAGAAAAAUCAGUCAUGUCUGGAUUCUAGCUAUCCGAACCUCCCUGUAUUUUAGAUCCAUUGUAGAGUUAAAGUCUCCACUUAUAAUCCAGGCCAGUUCAGGCUUAGACAAUACUGAAUACACCAUGCACACUAUUCAGCUCUAGCCAUAGCACUUGCCUUUGACUAUAUGUAUUUUAACUGUAAACAAAGGAAACCUUUUAUUUCAAAUCCAUAUUGAACUCACACUGAUAAUAAAUCUUUUUACUUUUCAGCCCUUGGCUGAUGAUGAUGUUGAUUUGACAGUGAUAAGUUGCCUUACUUUAGCAUGCAAAAUGCAGAAAAGAAGAUUUGAUACUACUGCAUUUCUGUUGGAGCAGGGGCUGACAUAUAAUUUGGAAGAAGUUGUUACUAUGGAGCGGCAUAUUCUGAGAUCUCUGGAGGGUGUUAUUGGACAGUUGACUCCAUUUGAUUUUCUCCAGUGUUUAGCCCAUGACUUACUCCAGUCCAGUGAUAUCAUACGGGCUUAUCAUAUUGUAGUAUGAAGCAAAGCCAAUAUUUUGUUUGCACCAUUUACUCCAUUUACUAUUGCAUUAUCUGCAAUUCUCUGCACUAUUAGCUAUGAUGAUCACAAAUCGGCUGCUAUAGAAGAACUUCAAGCUCAUGGAGUGCAACACAUGGACGAGUGCAGAAAUCUGAUGGAAGCAAUUUAUCAAACAAAAUUAAAUAGUUUGAUUGCGGGAUCCUCAACUGUUUCUGAAGAUUACUCUCCAUUGAAUGUUGCCCUAGGGUGGAUUGACCAAAUCCCUGAAGAUAGAGUUGGCUUAUUUUAUGGGGCAUUAUCAUGCAUAUGCCACUGGUUGAGGUGUUAAUCUGCUGGUUUUGUAAACAGCAAUUACUAUUCCUGCUCUGAAGCGCCUACUUUACUGAACUUCUUUAUGUAAAUAUGAAAGUAUGGUAUGUAAAUAUGAAAGUAUAUAGUUGUUUC